CGCCAAUACAGAAAAUGAAGUUAUUGAGUAAUGGAAUAACGAAAUGGGAGUAUUCGCAAAUUGAAGUUUAGAUUGAGAAAAAAGCGUACAGUUUUGAUGUUGGAACUUGCAGGGAACAGUGAAGGAAAGGGGCAAGUGAUAACGCCAGAGCUCUGCCCCCCGACACGUGUCAAUUUAGAACGCACUCCUGAAGAUGCUCCUUAAACUACCAAGACUACGAAUUCCAGGCAUAAAACCAUGUUUUCCAUACUGCGGAUAAGUUUAAGUUUUAUCGUUUCAUUUAAAUAAAUCAACAUUGUUGAUAAAUUGUAUAAGUAUGUAUGUAGUCGAUACGAAUAAAGAAGAAGAACUCACUCA